rnacentral:rRNA from 1 species
UAAUACGAAGGGUGCAAGCGUUACUCGGAAUUACUGGGCGUAAAGGGUGCGUAGGUGGUUCGUUAAGUCUGAUGUGAAAGCCCUGGGCUCAACCUGGGAAUUGCAUUGGAUACUGGCGGGCUGGAGUGCGGUAGAGGGUAGUGGAAUUCCCGGUGUAGCAGUGAAAUGCGUAGAUAUCGGGAGGAACAUCCGUGGCGAAGGCGACUACCUGGACCAGCACUGACACUGAGGCACGAAAGCGUGGGGAGCAAACAGG